rnacentral:lncRNA from 1 species
CUGGGGCGGAAGCUUCAUCUUUUACUAAGUAUUCUUUCUAUCCCAUACAUAAGAAUCUGGGGCUUCACCGUGAAGCUGUCUAUAGUUCCCAGAACUGUAUGUCUAUGAGAGCUGUGGGCAGGUGUGGCCUUGUCUGUAUUUAUUUUCUUUUUGGAGAAAAUACAUUUCACCAUAUUGCCCAGGUUGGUCCUGAAGUCCCAGGUACAAGCUGUCAUCCUCGCCGCCUCUCAAGUAGCUGAGGCACAAACCGGGGCAUCUUAGCUGGAUCCAUCGUUAAAGUGAUACUUUGCUCUACAAUCAUUUAGCCUCAGUUCUCUACAGGUCAGUGGAUGGCACUCAAAAUCUGCCAUCAGUGUCCUCACCUGCUGCUUUGUGUGAUGACUGGGGUCUGCAUGGACCAAGCCAAGUAAGUUAAAUGCAUGUGAGCCAGGCUCUUCUAACCCACUUUGUAACGAGUUCGGUGUCUUUGAAAGCAGUCAAAAUAUUUAAAACUGUGUGUGUGUGGUGUUCCCUGGCAAAAAGGGAGUGUGAGAAGUUUUCUUAGAAUUUACUAGAAGGAAGCCUAGAAAAUAUAUUUUAAAGCACACCAAGAAGUCACCUGCAUGGGUGGUCACUUUGGUCUUUGUCUUUUUAUCGCUUUCUUGGGGUUCAGCCACUGUCUACACCCUCUGCGUUUCUUUCACAGGUAUUUAAAUUUUUAAUUUUAUUUAUUUGUGUGAAGGGUAAAGGGACUGGAGUCUCUCGAGAUGGGGUGGCUUGCUCAAAAUGCCACCUCCAGCACUUCAGGAAGCCAGGACAGAGAUUUCUCCAGAAA